rnacentral:rRNA from 1 species
GCUAGCAAUGCACGCCUGUGGUUCAGCCGGCUAGUCUUGUGAGUUGUCGUGGGCGGAUCCGAAUGGACCGUCCGCGGCGUCUUCGCUGGGCGAGCUGUGGUGCACUCCAUGGACGUGCGCGUCAGCGUCGGUUUCCGACGAGCGAUGAGGUGCGUGGGGGAAGGUAGCUCGGUUCUUCGGGACGGAGUGUUACAGACCCUGGUGCUGGGCUCGUCGCGGGACCGAGGAGAGAGAUGAUCGCUGCGGCACCUGCCUCUCGGGGCUAGCCAGCCGUUGCCAGAUGUGCGUCAGGCGUUGAGGACUGCACGCAGUGCUCGAUGUUGAGGCGUGGUCUGGUGGUGGUGUGGGCAUAGAGGUGCCUAGGACGCUGGCGUCCAAAUGGCCGUGCGCGACCCGUCUUGAAACACGGACCAAGGAGUCUAACAUGUGCGCGAGUCUUAGGGUGUGCAAGCCCUCGGGCGCAAUGAAAGUGAAGGUUCGGCACUAGUCGAGCUGAGGUGAGAGCCGUUGCUGGCCUGACUGCUACGGCGGCGCAUCAUCGGCCGGUCCAUCCUGCUCUCAGGAGGAUCCGAGCAAGAGCGUAUCUGUUGGGACCCGAAAGAUGGUGAACUAUGCCUGAAUAGGGUGAAGCCAGAGGAAACUCUGGUGGAGGCUCGUAGGGAUUCUAACGUGCAAAUUGAUCUCAAAAUUUGGGUAUAGGGGCGAAAGACUAAUCGAACCAUCUAGUAGCUGGUUCCCUCCGAAGUUUCCCUCAGGAUAGCUGGAACUCGUCAACACAGUUUUAUCAGGUAAAGCGAAUGAUUAGAGGUCUUGGGGGUGAAACACCCUCAACCUAUUCUCAAACUUUAAAUCGGUAAGAAGCGCGACUUGCUUAAUUGAAGCCGCGCAGCCAAUGUGAGUUCCAAGUGGGCCAUUUUUGGUAAGCAGAACUGGCGAUGCGGGAUGAACCGAACGCUCGGUUAAGGUGCCCAAGUCGACGCUCAUCAGACCCCAGAAAAGGUGUUGGUUGAUAUAGACAGCAGGACGGUGGCCAUGGAAGUCGGAACCCGCUAAGGAGUGUGUAACAACUCACCUGCCGAAUCAACUAGCCCUGAAAAUGGAUGGCGCUCAAGCGUCGCACCUAUACCGGGCCGUCGUCGUAAAUGCCAGGCGACGACGAGUAGGAGGGCGCGGUGGUCGUGAUGCAGCCCUUGGCGUGAGCCUGGGUCAAACGGCCUCUGGUGCAGAUCUUGGUGGUAGUAGCAAAUAUUCAAAUGAGAGCUUUGAAGACCGAAGUGGAGAAAGGUUCCAUGUGAACAGCAGUUGGACAUGGGUUAGUCGAUCCUAAGAGAUAGGGAAGUUCCGUAUCAACGUGCGCAAUCGGUCUUGUGCCGCCUUGCGCCAACCUAUCGAAAGGGAAUCGGGUUAAUAUUCCCGAACCGGAAUGCGGAUAUUCUCUGGCUCUCGGGUCAGGAGCGGCAACGCUAGCGAACCGCGAGACGUCGGCGGGGGCUCCGGGAAGAGUUGUCUUUUCUUUUUAACGCAGUCGCCAUCCCUGGAAUCGGUUUGCCCGGAGAUAGGGUUGGCUGGCUCGGUAAAGCAGCACACUUCAUGUGCUGUCCGGUGCGCUCUCGACGGCCCUUGAAAAUCGCGGGGGUGUACUGAUUUUCGCAUCCGGUCGUACUCAUAACCGCAUCAGGUCUCCGAGGU